rnacentral:rRNA from 1 species
AGUGAACGCUGGCGGUAGGCCUAACACAUGCAAGUCGAACGGCAGCACAGUAAGAGCUUGCUCUUACGGGUGGCGAGUGGCGGACGGGUGAGGAAUACAUCGGAAUCUACUUUUUCGUGGGGGAUAACGUAGGGAAACUUACGCUAAUACCGCAUACGACCUACGGGUGAAAGCAGGGGAUCUUCGGACCUUGCGCGAUUGAAUGAGCCGAUGUCGGAUUAGCUAGUUGGCGGGGUAAAGGCCCACCAAGGCGACAAUCCGUAGCUGGUCUGAGAGGAUGAUCAGCCACACUGGAACUGAGACACGGUCCAGACUCCUACGGGAGGCAGCAGUGGGGAAUAUUGGACAAUGGGCGCAAGCCUGAUCCAGCCAUACCGCGUGGGUGAAGAAGGCCUUCGGGUUGUAAAGCCCUUUUGUUGGGAAAGAAAAGCAGCAGGUUAAUACCCCGCUGUUCUGACGGUACCCAAAGAAUAAGCACCGGCUAACUUCGU